GGUGAGAUGGCCGAGUGGUUGAAGGCGCACGCCUGGAAAGCGUGUAUAGGUUAAUAGCUUAUCGAGGGUUCGAAUCCCUCUCUCACCG
rnacentral:tRNA from 1 species